rnacentral:rRNA from 1 species
ACGGAAGGCAGCAGUGGGGAAUAUUGGGCAAUGGGCGAAAGCCUGACCUAGCGACGCCGCGUGAAGGAAGAAGGUCUUCGGAUUGUAAACUUCUUUUAUAAGGGACGAAGAAAGUGACGGUACCUUAUGAAUAAGCCACGGCUAACUACGUGCCAGCAGCCGCGGUAAUACGUAGGUGGCAAGCGUUAUCCGGAUUUACUGGGUGUAAAGGGCGCGUAGGCGGGGAUGCAAGUCAGAUGUGAAAUCUAUGGGCUCAACUCAUAAACUGCAUUUGAAACUGUAUCUCUUGAGUGCUGGAGAGGUAGAUGGAAUUCCUUGUGUAGCGGUGAAAUGCGUAGAUAUAAGGAAGAACACCAGUGGCGAAGGCGGUCUACUGGACAGUAACUGACGCUGAGGCGCGAGAGCGUGGGGAGCAAACAGGAUUAGAUACCCUGGUA